rnacentral:rRNA from 1 species
UACGAAGGGGGCUAGCGUUGCUCGGAAUCACUGGGCGUAAAGGGCGCGUAGGCGGCGUUUUAAGUCGGGGGUGAAAGCCUGUGGCUCAACCACAGAAUGGCCUUCGAUACUGGGACGCUUGAGUAUGGUAGAGGUUGGUGGAACUGCGAGUGUAGAGGUGAAAUUCGUAGAUAUUCGCAAGAACACCUGUGGCGAAAGCGGCUCACUGGACCACAACUGACGCUGAUGCGCGAAAGCGUGGGGAGCAAACAGG